UUGAAUGCACCUGGCAGAGACGACAUGGAUGGGGCUGAGCUGGUGGAAAGACCCCAUUUCUCAAACCCAGCUUUCUACGUGAAAUUAUUCAAAAGGAAACCUUAUCAAGCAGCCUUCCAGCCCAGUGUCAUCCAUCUUCCAGAGGAAUCUGGGCAUGGCUUCAAUGGAUCCUCUGCCUCAGAAUAUCCCACAAGACAACAAUUGAGGGAUCAG
rnacentral:lncRNA from 10 species